GCAUAUGAAGUUCCCAGGCCAGGGAUCAGAUCUGAGCCGCAGGAGCAACCUAAGCUGGGGCAAUGCCGGAUCCUUAACGCACUGCACCAGGCUGGGGAUCAAACCCGGGUCCCAGCACUCCCAAGACACCACCGAUCCCGCUGCACCACAGCAGGAACUUCACUUUUUUUUUCUUAAAGGAUCAUUUGAGUCUGAGAUUCACUUUAAAAUACUACAGGAAAAGAAAUCAUAUGGGAGGAAGGCAGAUAAAGCAAAAAAAAAACCGGCAGCUUGUCGAUGACUGUUUCAAAGAUAGAAUUGACAGCGCUGGCCUAAUACUUUACUGUCCUCUCUACAUAUGCUUGAACUUUUCGGUAAUAGAAAAGGUUAAAGAUAAAAGUAGUUGGAAAGCCAGCAAAAUAAAAGUCAAAAGCAGCAUCUGAAAAUGUACAAUGAAAGCCCAACAUGAAAGAGGAGUUUGGGAUUUAAUAAUGGGAACUGGUAUCAGGCAAGAUUCUUAAUCUGAAAAAAAUAAAAUAAAAAAUCAGCCAUGUGAAAAGAAACAGUGGCCCAACUCUAAGCUAUAAACAAGCUGCCGCAAAAUAGGCCUCUCUAUCUCUAGGGAGGCUGAUAAGGGUAAAAGCUAUCUCAGGAAGCUGUUUUACUUUCGGAAUGAGAAAAGAAAAAAAAAAGAUUACAAGUAAGAGGGGAAAAAAAAAAAACAAAAACCAAAAAACUGUACUCAGUGUUUGGCCUCCAGGAUUAAGACAGGGAGAAACAGAUCAGCCCACUGCUUCCCUGGGCACUGCCACUGGACUCGGUUCCUCUCAUGGGUCCAACUCAGGCCUGAAACACCACAACUUUAUACCUGGAGAAACGUGGGCAAGGUGCAGUGACACUUAUGGCUCCUGUUUUAUGUUCACAGAGUUCCCAGCGUGGUGCAGUGGGUUAGGAAUCCAACUGCAAGGAGUGCCCAUCACAGCUCAGUGGGUUAAGGAUCCGGUGUUGCUGUGAGCUGCACCCUAGAUCACAGACAUAGCUCGGAUCCGGCUGUGGUGUAGGCUGGUAGCUGCAGCUCUAAUUCAAUCCCUAGCCCUGGGAACUUCCAUAUGCCACACAUGUGGCCCUCAAAAAAGCGAAAAAAUAAAAAAUAAAAUAGAAUCCAACUGCAGUGACUCAAGUCGCUGCAGAGGCAAGGGUUUGAUCCUCAGACGGGUGAGAUGGGUUAAAGGAGCUGCAGCUGUGGCUUGGAUUCAAUCGCUUGGCAGGUGUGGCCAUAUUUAAAAAAAAAAAAAGAUGUUCACAUCCUUCCUUUGUCCAAGUUCAUAAGGGUAAAAAGGCAACCAUUUUUAUUUCCAAAAGGAGUGAAUUUCUGCCUUUCCAAGAAUACCGUUUUACUUUCAUCCUCUACCUCACCCUCUCUCAAACCUCAUACCUUCUCCCUCUGUACGGGGUCCCAAAUGCACACCUGACUCUGCUCCCUUCUUAAAGUCUUGGUCCAUUGGCACCAAUAGCUAGCUCUACCCUUUCUGCUACCUCGCCAGCCCUUGGACAACCCACGUGCCUGCUGCCUCAGACCACGUGGUUUCCCCCACCCCCCCGCGCCUCCUUGAAGCCCCCCACCCACCUCCUGGCUUCCGCAGCCCUGAACUGUCUGCUCUUUCACUCAUCUCUCUCCCCCUCCCCCAUCCUUACUCCAACAGAUUCUGCCCUCAGUUCUCUCCAAGAGCACAUCCACCCCUGCAGCUUCCACCACAACCAUGAUGGGACAUUCUAGGUCCCCAUCUCUUGAUCAAUUCUUUCUGGACCAACUGGACAUUUCCACCCUCUCCCACCAGCACCUCAACCACCACUUGCCCAAACCACACAUCCACACCCAUCUUUCUCUCCAGACCAGCUUGGCUCUUAACACUGUUCCCUCCUAAAAUUUUGACAGGCAGGCCUCAAACCACACUGCUGACACUCAUUUCCCCCCCAGCUGCCAAACCCCGUGGUCAAUAUCUGUAAUGACCAUCCUUCUGUUUCCUACUCCCAGUGUCCCUUCAGCAUCACUGGAUCCCCUUUUCUCCCAAGUGCACCCUUUUCCCCUAGUCUUUGUGGCCUUUGGACUCAGAAAAAUGUAGGCUUAAGUCUCUGCCAAUUACCACCUGAGGGACCUCGGCAAAGUUAGUUCAUCUCUCUGAGCUUCAAUUUCCUCAUCAGUAAAGAGAAGAGAGAAAGAGAGAAUGAGAGAAAGAGAGAGAGAGAGAGAGAGAAAGAAAGAAAGAAAGGAAAGAAGAAGAAAGAAAGAGGAAGGAAGGAAGGGGAAGGGAGGAAGGAGGAGAGCUAAUAGCACCAAACUCACGGGGAGUGUGCAUGAGGAUUCUGUAAGGAUUAAAUAUUCGUUAAGACUGGAAGUCAGGGCUUCAGCAGAGAAGAGUGAUCCUUCUGAAGAUACACAUCGGAUUAUGCUGGUGUCGCUCACACCCCUUUGGUGGGUCCCAUCCCCCUCAGCAGAGGCCUAGGAAUCCCCCCAGCCCCCCACACCCACCCGGCGCUCUCCCGGCAUGUCCUCCCGCCGCGCUGGAGCACAGGGUGUUCCUCCAAUGCGCCAGGCCUGCCUGCCUCGGGGCCUUUGCAUCUGCUCUUCCCUCUGCCUAGGUCAGAUGGCACCAUCUUGGAGGGGUCUUGCAUGACCACCUCCUACCCCCGCCCCCAGAUUCCCUACUUCUCUUCCCUGCUUAGUUUUUCUCCACGACAUUUACCAUCUCUGAUGUUCUGUGCAUUUGACAUAUUUCUUUAAUGUCUGACUCUAGCCACUGGAAGGUCCACGGGGGCUCAGGUUUAUUUUUGUUGUCCGAUCUACCCCCAACAUCUAAAACAGUGCCUGGCACACAAGAGGUGCUCAAUAUAUUCACCGAAUGGAGCGAUCAGUAAAUGUUUAUUUCCUUCCUACUUUUACUCCUGUCCUGCCUGGGCUCCCAUCAUUGAUCAUUUCUACAACCCAGCAGCUCUGUUCUAUCAACUGUCAACCCAGCAUCCACCCAGCAAUCCCCUUCCCACCACCCAAGCUUCUGAGCACUGCCAAAGAAAACAGGACCAUCGCUUGUGGAGAGGCCAUAUAUAUGUCUAUGCCAGUAUAUAUGUCUAUGCCAGUAUAUAUGUCUAUGCCAGUAUAUAUGUCUAUGCCAGUAUAUAUGUCUAUGCCAGUAUAUAUGUCUAUGCCAGUAUAUAUGUCUAUGCCAGUAUAUAUGUCUAUGCCAGUAUAUAUGUCUAUGCCAGUAUAUAUGUCUAUGCCAGUAUAUAUGUCUAUGCCAGUAUAUAUCUAUGCCAGUAUAUAUCUAUGCCAGUAUAUAUAUCUAUGCCAGUAUAUAUGUCUAUGCCAGUAUAUACGUCUACGCCAGUAUAUAUCUAUGGCCCCAGGUUGUAGGAGGUAAGUUUACCUUCUUCCUGGUCGGCCUCUGCUCCCCGUCCCUCGCAGCUGGUGUUUCCAACCUUCACUCCUUGCCCCGAGGCCCCUUCCUCUCCACAUGUGACCCCUUCUUGUGGCACAGGGGACGUGCAGGGCGCAGAGGGAGCUCUCCUACCUCCAGGCCCCUGGUUCCCCCAACUCCACUACCCUUCCCUUUACAGCUCUAUGAAAGGACAGUGUGGGAGUUCCUGUUGUGGCUCAGUGGGUUAAGAACCUGACAUAGUAUCCAUGAGGAUGUGAAUUCGAUCCCUGGCCUCGCUCCGUGGGUUAAGGAUCCAUCGUUGCCCCAAGCUGUGGUGUAGGUGGCAGAUGCGGCUGGGAUCCUGCAUUGCUGUGGCUGUGGUACAGGCCUGCAGCUUCGAUUUGACCCCUAGCCCGGGAACUUCCUAAUGCCUCAGGUGCAGGUAUUAAAAAAAAAAAAAUGAAAAAUAAAAGGACAAUGCUUUCUAGAUAUUUCACACUCAUGUAUCCGGAACCCCUAGAUGGUACCCUGUCUGCAAGGAUCUUCAAGACCUUCUGGCUAACUGCUCCCCCUCUGCCUACAAACACACCAAACCUCUGCCCAUCCCCCUUCACGCAUGCUCCCCGUUCUCUCCUAAAUACAUCCGUGUUUUUCAAGUUGUUCAACGACUCUUGAAAAACAUGUACAUCCACACAGCUACCCUCAGGAUCACGAUAGAGGAUAUUUCCGUCACCCCAAAACAUUUUCUCACACCCCUUUGGGUUCAUUAUUUCCAACCCCCAGCCCAGACAACCAUCUAUGGAUUCAUUGUUAUGUUUGUUCUAAAAUUUCACAAAUGGAAUUCAUACAGGAGGUUCCCUUUUGUGCCUGGCUUCUUUCCCUCUGCAUCAUUGGUGAAAUUCAUCCCUAUUGUUGCAUGUAUCACUUUGUUCUUUUUUGUUGCUGAAUAGUACUCCACUGUAUACAUACCAUUGUGUAGACACAACACUUUAUUUAUCUGUUGAUGGACUUUGGGUUACUCUAGUUUGGGGCUGGAAAAACAUGAAUAAAGCUGCAAGGAACAUUUGUGUACAAGUCUUUGGA
rnacentral:lncRNA from 1 species